rnacentral:rRNA from 1 species
AAUAAAUACCCGGUAGUCCUAGCCGUAAACGAUACUCGCUAGGUGUCGGCCACGGUGCGACCGUUGUCGGUGCCGUAGGGAAGCCGUGAAGCGAGCCACCUGGGAAGUACGGCCGCAAGGCUGAAACUUAAAGGAAUUGGCGGGGGGAGCACCACAACGGGUGGAGCUUGCGGUUUAAUUGGAUUCAACGCCGGAAAUCUUACCGGGACCGACAGCAAUAUGAAGGCCAGGCUGAAGACUUUGCCGGAUUAGCUGAGAGGUGGUGCAUGGCCGUCGUCAGUUCGUACUGUGAAGCAUCCUGUUAAGUCAGGCAACGAGCGAGACCCACGCCCACAGUUGCCAGCGUACUCUCUGGAGUGACGGGUACACUGUGGGGACCGCCGCUGCUAAAGCGGAGGAAGGAAUGGGCAACGGUAGGUCAGUAUGCCCCGAAUAUCCCGGGCUACACGCGAGCUACAAUGGUUGGUACAAUGGGUAUCUACCCCGGAAAGGGGACGGGAAUCUCCUAAAACCAAUCUUAGUUCGGAUUGAGGGCUGCAACUCGCCCUCAUGAAG